rnacentral:rRNA from 1 species
AUGAACGCUGGCGGCGUGCCUAAUACAUGCAAGUCGAGCGAACAGACGAGGAGCUUGCUCCUCUGACGUUAGCGGCGGACGGGUGAGUAACACGUGGAUAACCUACCUAUAAGACUGGGAUAACUUCGGGAAACCGGAGCUAAUACCGGAUAAUAUAUUGAACCGCAUGGUUCAAUAGUGAAAGACGGUUUUGCUGUCACUUAUAGAUGGAUCCGCGCCGCAUUAGCUAGUUGGUAAGGUAACGGCUUACCAAGGCAACGAUGCGUAGCCGACCUGAGAGGGUGCUCGGCCACACUGGAACUGAGACACGGUCCAGACUCCUACGGGAGGCAGCAGUAGGGAAUCUUCCGCAAUGGGCGAAAGCCUGACGGAGCAACGCCGCGUGAGUGAUGAAGGUCUUCGGAUCGUAAAACUCUGUUAUUAGGGAAGAACAAAUGUGUAAGUAACUAUGCACGUCUUGACGGUACCUAAUCAGAAAGCCACGGCUAACUACGUG